rnacentral:rRNA from 1 species
UGGGAAUAUUGGACAAUGGGGUAACCCCUGAUCCAGCCAUGCCGCGUGAGUGAUGAAGGCCUUCGGGUUGUAAAGCUCUUUUAGUAGGGAAGAAGGGAAACUUGACUGUACCUACAGAAAAAGCACCGGCUAACUCUGUGCCAGCAGCCGCGGUAAUACAGAGGGUGCAAGCGUUGUUCGGAAUUAUUGGGCGUAAAGCGCGUGUAGGCGGUCGAAUAAGUCUGGUGUGAAAGCCCGGGGCUCAACCCCGGAAGUGCACUGGAUACUGUUUGACUAGAGGACGAGAGAGGAGAGUGGAAUUCCUGGUGUAGGGGUGAAAUCCGUAGAUAUCAGGAGGAACAUCUGUGGCGAAGGCGGCUCUCUGGCUCGUUUCUGACGCUGAGACGCGAAAGCGUGGGGAGCAAAC